ACAGGUGACUGAUGCCUGGUGAGAAGGUGAGCCUGACAUAUAACCCUGUCAGCUGCAAUAAAGGAACCACGAGACAGGUGACUGAUUCCCGGUGAGAAGGUUAGCCUGACAUAUAACCCCGUCAGCUGCAAUAAAGGAACCACGAGACAGGUGACUGAUGCCGAGUGAGAAGGUAUACCUGACACAUAACCCCGUCAGCUGCAAUAAAGGAACCACGAGAC